GACGUCAAACAGUAGGCUGGUCUAAUUUAGUUGUUCAUAUGAAUUAGGCGAGACAAUAUGAACUGGGGUUGUGUAGCUUGUCUGUGAGCGAUAGCAACCUGAGACUUAAAUCAUAGACUGUGCUCGGAGAAGUCUAUAUGGCAACACUUUUGGACAGGGGUUCGACUCCCCUCAUCUCCACCA
rnacentral:tmRNA from 1 species